AAUGAACGCUGGCGGCAGGCCUAACACAUGCAAGUCGAACGCGUGGCGGACGGGUGAGUCAGGUCUGGGAAACUGCCUGCUGGAGGGGGAUAACUACUGGAAACGGUAGCUACUACCGCAUACCAUAAGCUGAGACAAGAUGGGAUAGCUUGUUGGUGGGGUAACUGCUCACCAAGGCGACGAUUCCUAGCUGGCCUGAGAGGAUGACCAGCCACACUGGAACUGAGACACGGUCCAGACUCCUACGGGAGGCAGCAGUGGUGAAUAUUGCACAAUGGGCGCAAGCCUGAUGCAGCCAUGCCGCGGGUAUGAAGAAGGCCUUCGGGUUGUAAAGUACUGUCAGCGGGGAGGCGUUACCCGCAGAAGAAGCACCGGCUAACUCCGUGUCAGCAGCCGCGGUAAUAC
rnacentral:rRNA from 1 species